AUGGUCCCUUCUUCCCCAACACCCACACAAACCAAUCAACCAUCUUCUUAUCGGAACAACCAUACACCACCCUUUAACCACCUAACACCGCUCACCACUUCAGACGAACAAAACAAACCACCUAACACCACUCACCCUAACUAAUAUUAGUUCGUUUACACAGGCUAAAAAGUGGGUUCAAGAGCCUUAGAAACAAGGUGGUGAUGGUGGUCGAUGAUGUCCGGUUGAUAGUUCGGAGUCUUGUUUGAAGUCACCGAAGAAGUUUAUAGUAGAGGUGGAGCCGUAGCUUAUGGUAAAAGACAUAUAUUUUCCAGCACCGGUUGCCGAUUUGGAGUCGUGUUGGGAUAUUUUCCGGUGAGUGCUUGUUGUUUAGAUCUAGAUCUUUGAUUGCUUCAUGAUUCGAUCACCUCUGUCAAUUUACGGAUUGCAAUCGUAUUGGGAUAUUUUCCGCAGAUCUUGGUGCUUGAUCCUCAUUCUCUUCCAUUACCUCAAGCGCUACGUUAUAUGA
rnacentral:lncRNA from 1 species